rnacentral:lncRNA from 1 species
GGAUCCAAAAGUAGCAUACACACAUAGUUCAUUACGAAUCUAAGAAACACGUAAGCAAGUACUGCUUGCAAACAAAAGCGCAUAAUCUGUUUGUCGGGCAAUGAUAUUAGUAUCACAAGUGACAUUUUCGAUGUUCACUAAAGCGCCAAGUUUUCUCUUUUCUGACUAAACGCCAUCUUCGCUAGACCUACGAAGAAAAGAAGCUCUUUAGGAAUCCUUUAAAAAUGACAUACAAACGAUAGAUUGGUAAUACUGUGAACAGGGUCCACUAUUGAAAGAAUCAAGAAUAAAUGACGCAUAUGGCAUGUCUAGUGAUUUUACAUUGCAGAAGUUGAUUUUGAAACCUAUACUUGUCUCUAUAGCUUAACUAACGCAGGACGUGAUGAAUUUUUGCUUGUUAGAGGCAAUUCGGCAAUCCAAAAUUCACACACACUUGAUCUAGGUCUAAUACAUGACUACAGAAAAUGGCCCUUCUUUUGCAAAUAGCACAGCUAUGUUGGAAUUAAAUUGGUUUCUGGUUGCAUAGGACAUAAACAUACACAAGUGAAAUAUUUCCCAUAGUUCCAUAUCAUAGGAAGAUGUAAAGAAACAAACAGAUAGUUCGAACCAUGUUGAAUGGGGCAAAUUUUAUUUUCGAGAGAUCAGCUGCACACGGACACGAGCCAGAGGAGGGCCUACCAGAGCAUAAGACAACAGGACGUGGAUAAAAAGGUAAAAUCUAUAUGCUAUUGUGACAUGAUAUUUUUUAGAUGGUUGCUAAUAUUAUUUGGGUCCAGGAUGCUUAACGUUUUAAGUGCAAAGCACCCAGUCUGAGUCCAAAUAUUACUAUGAAAAUGAAAGGAUAUACACAACCAUACUGAAAGAAAAGAAGGGCUUGGUUAUACGGGCUCCAAGCUGCCAACCACUUACAUGCGCUCUGACCUGUCCUUUUCCUGGUGGUAAGCUGUCGAAGGAUGGUUUUCAGCUGUGUUUUUCUAAUAGUUAGUUCACCACCACGGCAAGGAAAGGAAACAGAAGGAUAGAAAACAUAAUAAAGAUAGAAAUUUGAGCGGUUUAAAACGAUAUUUGAUCAAGAAAUUUCAAGCAAUACACACUCGAGUAAGCAAACAAUAUUAAUCUCCAGCUUCCUAUAUAGAAAGUGAAUGUUAAUGUUACUAACCUCAGCUUCUAAAAUCUCCAGGCUCAGAAUCCCUCCAGAAAGUAUUUCGAACCCAAGUUAUUUCAAGCAAUACACACUCGAGUAAGCAAACAAUAAGCGAGAGAAGAGUCAACUUUAUCUAAAAGCAAUUAUGGUACUAUGGUAAAAAAUAAUGGAUUGGUUUGAAAUCAACACCAAAAAUAGGCCUUUCAAUUCUUGUCUUACAUUCUUUUAAAGACCUAAUGCUCCUCAAUUAGUUAUGCAAAUUGAGAAUCGCAGGAGGCAGCUGAAGCAGUUAGUAACAAAAUACAAAACCAAAAAAAUCCAGAACACAAUGAUUCAUCCAAGACACCAUAAUCAUCGUUCUCACAAGCAUAAGUAUAAUUGUAUGAUCAGUGCCUUCAAUAGUGUUGAGAAGAGGGUCAUUUUUUGUUGCUAGAUGGCCAGGUUCAACACAUGCCCAUGUAUAUUGAUUAUUGAAUGAUGCUUUGCUCGGGCAUUGAAAUAAAUAGUUUCCACUACUCCUGAACAUGAAGUAUAUUUCAUUUGUUCUCAGCUUGAUUUAUGUACAAAUUUCGUGCAUGUACUGUUGAGAGUUUCCUAUGUAUUUAGCAAUUUUCUUUAUUUUGAACUACUCAAGAAAAUAUUAUCUUAUUGAUGAUGAUUAUUCGAAUAGAAAGGCUUUCUAAAAGCUUGCCCAAUUUGAGCACCUGCCAAGGGGUGCUUUUGGCCAUUGUAAUAUACUACAUAUCAUUGAAGUUAAAAAUACCCUAUGCAACCUCUGGUCGCGUAUACAUAUUUCCACCACACAAAUCUGGACCUUUUUAGCCAAUCAAAACAAAAGGAACAUAAUCAUAGAUUGUCGCUCUUACAUUACAUCACGACGACUAAAACCAUUAGCAUUCUUGUCAGCUCCUAUACACAAGAUAUGCAAGCUGAAACACGAAUUGGAUUGUAUAAACUCUGACCUUGUCAGCAGCAGCCUGUAGAGUCUCAUGGUCACCCCAUUGACUGUUUCUGUUAGUUUAUAUACAAGAAAAAUGUCAUGUUAGAACAAGCAUCCACAUGCACUUAUUCUAGGUUCCAUUAUAAAAAU